UGGGAUGUCCUAUUUUCACUGAUCAAG
rnacentral:piRNA from 1 species